rnacentral:rRNA from 1 species
AGCAGCCGCGGUAAUUCCAGCUCCAAUAGCGUAUAUUAAAGUUGUUGCAGUUAAAAAGCUCGUAGUUGAAUUUCGGGGUCGGUAGGUUGGUCAUGCCUCAGGUAUGCACUGGUCUCACUGAUUCCUCCUUCCUGAUGAGCCGUAAUGCCAUUAAUUUGGUGUUGCGAGGAAUCUGGACUGUUACUUUGAAAAAAUUAGAGUGUUUAAAGCAAGCUAACGCUUGAAUACAUUAGCAUGGAAUAAUGGAAUAGGACGUUCGAUCCUAUUUUGUUGGUUUCUAGGGUUGACGUAAUGAUUAAUAGGGAUAGUUGGGGGCAUUAGUAUUCAAUUGUCAGAGGUGAAAUUCUUGGAUUUAUUGAAGACUAACUACUGCGAAAGCAUUUGCCAAGGAUGUUUUCAUUAAUCAAGAACGAAAGUUAGGGGAAUCGAAGACGAUCAGAUACCGUCGUAGUCUUAACCAUAAACUAUGCCGACUAGGGAUCGGAUGAUGUUAAUUUUUAAUGACUCAUUC